rnacentral:rRNA from 1 species
UGAAGUAAGUAAGGGCGUACGGUGAAUGCCUUGGUGCCAACAGGCGAAGAAGGACGCGGCAAGCUGCGAAAAUCCUCGGGAAGCUGCAAGCAAGCGAUGAUCCGGGGGUAUCCGAAUGGGGUAACCUGAUCGAGGCAAUACUCGAUCGUUCAUACCUGAAUACAUAGGGUAUGAAACGCGAAACCCGCUGAAGUGAAACAUCUCAGUAAGCGGAGGAAAAGAAAGAGAAAUCGAUUCCGUAAGUAGUGGCGAGCGAAAGCGGAUGGAGCCCAAACCGAAGGUACUCCUUCGGGGUUGUAGGACCACGAGAUAUUCGACCAUACUGGAUAGUAGAACAGCCUGGAAAGGCUGGCCGUAGAAGGUGAAAGCCCUGUAGACGAAAUCCAGCGUGGGAAUUAGUGGAAUCCUGAGUAAUACAUCACACGUGGAACGAUGUAUGAAUCAGCGCGGACCACCGCGCAAGGCUAAAUACUAGUUGGCGACCGAUAGUGAACAAGUACCGCGAGGGAAAGGUGAAAAGAACCGCUGUGAGCGGAGUGAAAUAGAACCUGAAACCGUAUGUCUACAAAGUGUCAGAGCAGAGCAAUCUGCGAUGGCGUGCCUUUUGUUUAAUGAGUCUGCGAGUCAGUGUUUGUGGCAAGACUAAGGGCUUCCGGCCCGGAGUCGCAGCGAAAGCAAGUCCGAAUAGGGCGAAUUAAGUCGCAGGUACUGGACCCGAAGCGGAGGUGACCUACCCUUGGCCAGGUUGAAGCAUGGGUAAAACCAUGUGGAGGACCGAACAGGUGAACGUUGAAAAGUUCUCUGAUGAGCUGAGGGUAGGAGUGAAAGGCUAAUCAAACCCCGUGAUAGCUGGUUCUCUUCGAAAUGCAUUUAGGUGCAGCGUCACGUGCUGAUGCGCGGGGGUAGAGCACUGACAAGGCUAGGGGGCACACCCGCUUACCAAACCUUAUCAAACUCCGAAUACCGUGCAAUGGAACGUGGCAGUGAGACAGUGGGGGAUAAGCUUCAUUGUCGAGAGGGAAACAACCCAGACCAGCAGCUAAGGUGCCUAAAUAACGCUCAGUGGAAAGGAUGUGGGAUUACACAGACAGUGAGGAUGUUGGCUUAGAAGCAGCCACCAUUUAAAAAAUGCGUAAUAGCUUACUCAUCGAGUGAUCCUGCGCCGAAAAUGAUUGGCGAUCAAGCGUUAUACCGAAGCUCUGGACUUUACCUUACGGUAGAGUGGUAGAAGAGCGUUGCAUGCGCGUUGAAGGGUGAUGGCGACUGACCCUGGAGCACAUGCAAGUGAGUAUGCAGACAUGAGUAACGUAAAGCCGGGUGAAAUCCCCGGCCGCCGUAAACCCGAGGUUUCCAGGGCAACGUGUUUCGUCCCUGGGUUAGCCGGGACCUAAGCCGAGGCCGAGAGGCGUAGGCGAUGGAUAUCAGGUUAAUAAUCCUGAGCUCGCGACCCUUAAACUGGGGGGACGCAUGAGAAAAGAUGACUAGGUUAUUGAAUUCCGAGUUGAGUCCACGGACUCAGCGCAUCAUUGGAUCGAGUGCCAAGAAAAGCCCCAGCGUAUGCUAAGCGACCCGUACCGCAAACCGACACAGGUGGGUGGGUAGAAUAUACCAAGGCGUAAGAGUGAAACCUGGUUAAGGAACUCGGCAAAUUAGCCCCGUAACUUCGGAAGAAGGGGUGCCUGCAGCGAUGCAGGCCGCAGAGAAAUGGCCCAACCGACUGUUUAUCAAAAACACAGCACUCUGCAAAGACGCAAGUCGAAGUAUAGGGUGUGACACGUGACCAAUGCCGAAAGAUUAAGGCAAGGGGUUAGCCGCAAGGCGAAGCUCUGAACCCAAGUCCCGGUGAAUGUCGGCCGUAACUAUAACGGUCCUAAGGUAGCGAAAUUCCUUGUCGGGUAAGUUCCG